UACGGGGGGUGCGAGCGUUGUCCGGAAUCACUGGGCGUAAAGGGCGCGUAGGCGGCUCAUGAAGGCUGUGGUGAAAGUCCGGGGCUCAACCUCGGAUCGGCCGUGGCGACUCGUGGGCUGGAGCACUGUAGAGGCGGGUGGAAUUCCGGGUGUAGCGGUGGAAUGCGUAGAGAUCCGGAAGAACACCAGUGGCGAAGGCGGCCCGCUGGGCAGUGGCUGACGCUGAAGCGCGACAGCGUGGGGAGCAAACAGG
rnacentral:rRNA from 1 species